CGUGGAACCGUGCAUUCCAGAGAGGACCAGACCUCCUGCACAGACGCCAAUCUGUGCCAGCCGUCAGUCAUCUCCGAGGCCCAAAAAGAAGAGGGAAGGAAGAGCCAAAUAAACCAUCUCCAAACAACAACGAAUGCAGCACUACUUAGUCAUGGGCCGUGUCUUCUCUCUCCACUCUCCUUGGAAAUAUCCUGGCAGACACAACCAGAGAUGACUGUCAUCACUACUUAGGGGAUGUCCAGUCGAGUUGAUGAGGCAGAUUGACCAUAAAACAAGACACCAGCUUUGGCUGUCCUGAAACUUGCUCUGGAGACCAGACUGGCCUUGAACUCACAGAGAUCCAACCUGCCUCUCUGCCUUUGGAGUGUUGGGAUUAAAGGUGUGUGCUACCACCGACUGGUCAUUUGUCCACUUCUAUCUGGCUACUCUGAUUACUUCUUUGAUUUGUUCGACUUUUUUUUUUUUCCAGAGGGUUUCACUAUGUAAUACAGCUUGGUGAAUGACCAGAAUCUUGGUGAAUUCUUGGUGAUUCUCCAAGAAAUUCACAGUCUCUGUCAUGUGAGUAGUACCUAAAGGUGCCUGAGACCCAAGCCAGCCACCUGUACUAUUGGAGAAGCCAGAACUACGAUAAAGCUUGAAGUCUUUCUCAGGGAGUCAAUGGGAGGAGUCCUGUGAUACCUGGACUCAGGGUGGCCCUUUGUGCUGCUUGCUCAGUUCUCCUUUCUCAAUAGAACCCAGAGGCCAAGCCUGGCUUCUUUCUGAAAUAUUUUCUUCCUUGGAUCCAGCAGAGAUCUUUUUCUACAAGUCGCAAGGCCGUUUUCCCCACUUUACAAAUGAGGAAGCAUGAAUCUCUGUAGAGAAGUCUGCAGCUACUGGCUCUAAGUGUUCAAGAAGAAAAAUUAAUGUAUUCUUAGCCUGGGCCUGCUAAGGACAGAUACUUGGUUUGACACUUCCUGCCCGGUGCACCUUUCCUCCUCUUGCACACAUGCUCCCCCUGCUGCCAGAAGCUGGAAGUGCGCCCGUGGGUGGGGCUGCGAGGACCACCUCAGCCCGUCCGUUUGGAUACCCACGUGGAAAGAUUGCAAAAGAGUGGCCAAAGACGAAAUCAUAGUCUUAAGAUUCUUCCGGUACUCUGACAAAAGGUCCAAAUUAAGCUUUUUUUUUCUUCUCCCAUGUCAGGCAUAUGCUUUGUAAUAUAGGAUGAAUAUACACCUCCUUGAAAGGUUAAAUGAACAAAAGGACUUCAGGGUUGGAGUCAAUCAACACAGAUCCAGGCUUUGAUGAGACUCGGCUUCUUUACCUGUACUUUGAACACAGUGCAUGAUUGUGGAACAGAUCUAUGAAUAGAAAUAUAUUAAAUA